rnacentral:rRNA from 1 species
AUUGAACGCUGGCGGCAGGCCUAACACAUGCAAGUCGAACGAGUGGCGGACGGGUGAGUAAUGCCUGGGAAUCUGCCUGAUGGAGGGGGAUAACUACGGGAAACGGUAGCUAAUACCGCAUACCAUCGGAUGUGCCCAGAUGGGAUUAGCUAGUGGGUGGGGUAAAGGCUCACCAAGGCGACGAUCCCUAGCUGGUCUGAGAGGAUGACCAGCCACACUGGAACUGAGACACGGUCCAGACUCCUACGGGAGGCAGCAGUGGGGAAUAUUGCACAAUGGGCGCAAGCCUGAUGCAGCCAUGCCGCGUGUAUGAAGAAGGCCUUCGGGUUGUAAAGUACUUUCAGUGGGGAGGCGUUACCCACAGAAGAAGCACCGGCUAACUCCGUGCCAGCCGCCGCGGUAAUUC